GAUGAACGCUGGCGGCGUGCUUAACACAUGCAAGUCGAACGGCAGCAUGGUCUGUAGCAAUGCAGAUUGAUGGCGAGUGGCGGACGGGUGAGUAACGCGUAGGAAUCUGCCCUGUAGAGGGGGACAACCCGGGGAAACCCGGGCUAAUACCGCAUAGACUCUGAGGAGGAAAGGAAGUGGCAACACUUUCGCUAUGGGAGGAGCCUGCGUCUGAUUAGCUAGUUGGUAGGGUAAGAGCCUACCGAGGCGAUGAUCGGUAGCUGGUCUGAGAGGAUGACCGGCCACACUGGGACUGAGACACGGCCCAGACUCCUAGCGGAGGCAGCAGUGGGGAAUAUUGGACAAUGGGGGCAACCCUGAUCCAGCAAUGCCGCGUGUGUGAAGAAGGCCUUCGGGUUGUAAAGCACUUUAGGCGGGGAAGAAGGUGUGGUGAAGAGCCACAUUUGACGGUACCCGCAGAAUAAGCACCGGCUAACUCUGUGCCAGCCGCCGCAGUAA
rnacentral:rRNA from 1 species